AUAGAAACAUUUCUACAGACUUCUGAAAGGUUUGGGUACUUGUUGCCAGGUGCCCCUUCCUGAUGAAGGGAGAUGUGAUGGCUGCAGUCCAACGGCUGUCUUGUGACCACGAAGCAACCCUGACAACCACGCCAUGUGCCCAGAGCGUGCCUGUUAGAGCUGUUCAGACUUCCCGCUUCUUACACUUCGUAGAGGGCCAUGGUGCACACGAGGCCUUGAGGCGUUUCCCCAUUUCCCCGCGCAGAUUUGUAGCUCAGAACCACUUCUAAGCCCUUCCUCCAGAGCACUGUGAGUCCUUGGCUCAUUGGCAGUGCAUCCACUUGCUUUCUCAACGGUCUUCGUUCUUCAGACCAGACGGCUUUGGGACCACCCCUACCUUGUACAUUCCGCUUGGGGGCUUAUCUGGGGACAUGGGAAGGUUGAUGCUGUGGCCUCUGACCUCCAAGGUAUCGGGUUUGACUCCUGGGAUCACAGUACUCAAUGUCCCACGACCUCCCUUCUUCCCCUGUUAGGACAUCACCCCCCUGCAGGUGGUUCUGCCCAACACUGCCCUCCAUCUUAAGGCGUUGCUGGAUUUUGAGGAUAAGAACGGAGACAAGGUGGUGGCAGGAGAUGAGUGGCUAUUUGAAGGGCCUGGCACCUAUAUCCCCCGGAAGGAGGUGGAGGUCUUGGAGAUCAUUCAGGCCACAGUCAUCAAGCAGAACCAGGCCCUGCGGCUGAGGGCCCGCAAGGAGUGCUGGGACCGGGAGGGCAAGGAGAGGGUGACAGGAGAAGAAUGGCUGGUCCGCACCGUGGGUGCAUAUCUCCCGGCAGUGUUCGAGGAGGUUCUGGAUUUGGUGGAUGCUGUGAUCCUCACAGAAAAGACGGCCCUGCACCUCCGGGCUCAGCAGAACUUUCGAGACUUGAGAGGCGUGAGCCGCCGCACCGGGGAGGAGUGGCUGGUGACCGUGCAGGACACGGAGGCCCACGUGCCAGAUGUCUGUGAGGAGGUGCUGGGGAUCGUGCCCAUCACCACCUUGGGC